UACAAUAAGCUCCAAUAAGGGUGUUAUAAACAAUUAUAUUUGGGACUAAGCCUUGUCUGAGCAUCUCAUGGAAAAGGUCUCUGCUCUUUCCAAGUUUUUCAGCUUUACACAAACCAUUUAUUAAGGCCCCAUAGGUAUAAAUAUCGCAGACAAGUCCCUUGCUUCGACAUUCAUUCCAUAGCAACAGAGCUUCAUCUAUUUUACCUUUCUCGCCAAGCCCAUGUAGCAGAACAUUGUAAGUUGAAAUAUGAGGUGCGAUUCGUUCUUUCCAAGUUUAUCAGCUUUGCACAAACCAUUUAUUAAGGCCCCAUAGCUAUAAAUAUCACAGACAAGUCCCUUGCUUCGACAUUCAUCCCAUAGCAACAGUGCUUCAUCUAUUUUACCCUUCUCGCCAAGCCCAUGUAUCAGCACAUUGUAAGUUGAAAUGUCAGGUGCACUUCCUUGCUUUACCAU
rnacentral:lncRNA from 1 species